rnacentral:rRNA from 1 species
GACAAUAAAUAACGAUGCGGAACCAUAUUGGUUUUGCAAUUGGAAUGAGAUAUACUUAACCUACAAACCGAGGACCAAUUGGAGGGCAAGUCUGGUGCCAGCAGCCGCGGUAAUUCCAGCUCCAAUAGCGAAUAUUAAAGUUGUUGCAGUUAAAAAGCUCGUAGUUGAAUGUCUGGAGUAUGAGUUGGGACCGCUUGAUUGCGUGUCCUUGACUUAUAAUCCAUCCUGACAGGGAGUACAUUGGCCUUCAUUGGUUUGGUGUAUCAACCUGUCUCUAUUACUGUGAGAAAAUCAAAGUGUUUAAAGCAGGCAAUCGCUUGAAUACAUUAGCAUGGAAUAAUAAGAUAGGACAUUUGAUCUAUUUUGUUGGUUGCGAUCAAACGUAAUGAUUAAUGGCGACGGUUGGGGGCCUUUGUAUUGAGAUGGAAGAGGUGAAAUUCUUGGAUUUUCUCAAGACAAACUACUGCGAAAGCACUGGCCAAGAACGCUCGCAUCAAUCAAGAACGAAAGUCAGGGGAUCGAAGAGGAUUAGAUACCCUCGUAGUCUUGACCAUAAACUAUGCCGACUCAGGAUUGGUAGACGUUGUUUACGACUCUAUCAGCACUGUAUGAAAAAUCAAAGUCUUUGGGUUCCGGGGGGAGUAUGGUCGCAAGGCUGAAACUUAAAGGAAUUGACGGAAGGGCACCACCAGGAGUGGAGCCUGCGGCUUAAUUUGACUCAACACGGGGAAACUUACCAGGUCCAGACAUAGUAAGGAUUGACAGAUUGAAAGCUUUUUCUUGAUUCUAUGGGUGGUGGUGCAUGGCCGUUCUUAGUUGGUGGAGUGAUUUGUCUGGUUAAUUCCGUUAACGAACGAGACCUCCGCCUGCUAAAUAGUUUGGCAACGUACGCGUUGUACAAACUUCUUAGAGGGACUAUGGGUGUUUAGCUCAUGGAAGUUGGAGGCAAUAACAGGUCUGUGAUGCCCUUAGAUGCUCUGGGCCGCACGCGCGCUACACUGACCAAUGCAACAAGUUUCUUUCCUUGGCCGACAGGCCUGGGCAAUCUUUGAACAUUGGUCGUGAUGGGGAUAGAUUCUUGUAAUUUUUGAUCUUCAACGAGGAAUUCCUAGUAAACGCAAGUCAUCAGCUUGCAUUGAUUACGUCCCUGCCCUUUGUACACACCGCCCGUCGCACCUACCGAUUGAAUGGUCCGGUGAAAUCUCCGGAUUGGAACGAGUCUGAGCAAUUGGACAAGUACUGAGAAGUUGAUUAAACCUUAUCAUUUAGAGGAAGGUGAAGUCGUAACAAGGUUUCCGUAGGUGAACCAGCGGAAG